GCAGAUGGUACAGAGUCAUGUGAUGUUGUUAGCCGGGGUUGAAUCUGAGAGGUUCUCCUGCGUCUGAUGUGAGUGCUAAGUGCUCUCUCAAGAAAAAGGACUAAUCCCAUUUGGCUGCUCAAGAAAUUACUGGAAGACCCAGAAUGUCUUACGGAUCCAUUGAUGCAGGUUCUUUUGGAAGCAGAAAUCCGUUUGGUGGGCCCACAAGGCAGGGAUACCAGCCAGUAGCUACACAAGUCAGUCCCUCAGAGCUGCAAGACGUGUUCCAGGAAACCUCCUCUAACAUCUUUCAGAUCAAUGCUAACGUGGUAACACUAGAGAAGAACCUUCAAUCAUUGGGAACAUCCAGAGACACAGCAGAGCUGCGGCAGAGUUUACAUUCCACACAGCAGCAAACCAAUAAAGUCAUAACAAGCACAAGUCAACUUGUUAAACAACUCACUGACAUCAUCAGCGGGUCUUCACGGCAAGACAGACUCCGUCUGACAAGACUCAAAACAGAGCUAUCAGAUUCUGUGCAGCGAUAUGGAGACCUGCAGAAGAAAAUUGCAGAUCGUUCGAGGGCCUUGCUUCCUCCUGCACAAAAGGACAGGAAACAGAGCCUACAAACUCCAUUCAGUGAACUGGUUGAAGAAGGGCCGUUGUUCGGAGCUGGGGAGAGUGUUGAGGGUGAUGGACAAGCAUUCCUAUCAGAGAUCAGUGAAGAAGAUGUGGAGAUCCUGAGGCAAAGAGAAGAAGCACUGCUGCAGAUUGAGAGAGACAUGCUGGACGUCAGUCAGAUUAUGAAGGACUUGGCCAGCAUGGUGCAUGAACAAGGAGACACCAUAGACAGCAUUGAGGACUACAUUCAGACCACCUCAUCACAUGUGGAAUCAGCCAAUCAGGAGCUUGCAAAAGCCAGUCAUUAUCAGAGGCAGCUGAGGAGGAGGAAAUGUUAUCUGCUAAUCGCUGGAGUGCUGCUUCUUACUUUGCUUAUCAUUAUUAUUGCAGUCUCAGCCAGAAAAUGAGAGCAAGACCACAGAAGCCACUGAGCACAACAUCUGUUUCCCAUAUUCAUCUCAGGCUAUAAAAGGAAAUCCCAGUUGUCUUCAGCUGGCUUUUUGGCAGAGCAUACUGGAGUGCGGCUGUCUGACAGCGUUCCCAGAGAGGCCACAUGGGAACCGCUGUCACCUCUAAUCUUCAAGACCAUACAAACACCCCGCAGUGCACUGAGCGGAGAAAGAGAGAGAGAAUAUGCAAUCGUGGUUGAGCUACAGUGGCUGAAUAAGAACUUCAGAACCAAUAAGGAUGCUGUCAUGUUCAGAGCUACAAAGUGAAGUCCGGAUCACUGAAUGAUCAUUUUUGCAUCUGCUGCUCCUGUGGUAGGGUUCCCAGGACUCGCCCUCCUGCAAGUUCUCGAGUCUUCUAAAAGGUCUCCCACAUUAAUCUUCCUUUUAAUGUAUUUCAUUGAGAUAAGAAGUGAAAACCCCUGAGGAGAAGGGAAAUGGGAGAUGCAGAGAUACCGAAUUUUCCAGAGGGCUGGUGGCCAGACUAAUGGAGCUCUAGGAGGUUUGCUGUAGACCCCUCGGUCAGCUCACAACAUGUGAUAGGAAUGAGCACAGCGAGAUAACAACUUUUACUGCAAUUGUGCUUGUGUACGUGGUGUGUAAUGGGUGUUUCUUCAGCUAUGGCCACUAUGGCCCUUUGCCCUCUUGAAGAAACACUUUCAAACUCAAAAGUUUUAAGUAAUAAUUCACCCAAAAAUGAAAAUGCUGGAAAUUUAGCUCACCCUCAGGCCAUCCAAAAUAAAAAUACAUUUGUUUCUUCUUCGGAACAGAUUUGUAGAAAUUUAGCAUUACAUCAUGCAGUGAAUGGGUGCCAUCAGAAUAAGAGUCCAAAUAGCUGAUAAAAGUAAUCCACACAACUUUAUUCCCUCAGUUUACAUCUUGUGUUUGUAAGGAACAAAUUCACUGUUAAAGUGUUUUAACAUUAAACCAUAAUUUUGGCCAAAAUACGAGUCCAUAAUCCACAAUAUUGCUUUCUCCAGUGAAAACAUUCAUCCUUUUUGACCUCUGGCAUCAAAAUCCUCCAACAAAUUUGUUUAGAAUUUGUUUUGAAUUGAUUUCAUUUCAUGAGCUUCACUUGGUGCUUGAUCGGUGAAUAUUUCUCCCCUGAUUCAGAUGAGGUGACUUUCACUAGAGAAAGCUAUAUUAUGAAUAGAGGACUCAUGUUUUAGCCUGAGGCAAUGGUUUGGUGUUAAAAAAAAAAAAAAAAAAGAAAAGAAAAUGGUUUUGUUCCUUAAAAACACAGCUUUUCAAUUCACAAGAUUUAACUUAAUGGACUGGCUAAACAAUGACUCGUUUGAGCUGUUUAAACUCUGACGGCACCCAUUUAUUGCAGAGGAUCCACUGGUGAGCAAGUGAUGUAAUUUUGUCCAAAUCUGAAGAAACAAACUCAUCUACGAGUCAUCUAAAUUACAUCUCGGAUGGCAUGAGGGUGAUUACAUUUUUAGGAAAUUUAGAAUUUUGGGUGAAAUAUUCCUCAUAUAUCACAGGAUAAUUCUCUCUCUCUUUUUUUUUUUCUAGAAAUCAUUACCAUUUCCACCAACCCAAAUUGUAUGAUGUGUUUAAUAGCAUUCUGUGAUGGAAAUGACAUUUUAAAAAAAAUGUGAAUAAAAUCGGCAACUCUUGGUUUAGUAUUCCAUAUUACUAUACUCUUCCA